AUUGAACGCUGGCGGCAUGCUUUACACAUGCAAGUCGAACGGUAACAGGCCUUCGGGCGCUGACGAGUGGCGAACGGGUGAGUAAUGCAUCGGAACGUGCCCAGUCGUGGGGGAUAACUAUCCGAAAGGAUAGCUAAUACCGCAUACGAUCUGCGGAUGAAAGCGGGGGACCUUCGGGCCUCGCGCGAUUGGAGCGGCCGAUGUCAGAUUAGGUAGUUGGUGGGGUAAAGGCUCACCAAGCCAACGAUCUGUAGCUGGUCUGAGAGGACGACCAGCCACACUGGGACUGAGACACGGCCCAGACUCCUACGGGAGGCAGCAGUGGGGAAUUUUGGACAAUGGGCGCAAGCCUGAUCCAGCAAUGCCGCGUGCAGGAAGAAGGCCUUCGGGUUGUAAACUGCCUUUGUACGGAACGAAACGGCUCUGGUUAAUACCCGGGGCUAAUGACGGUACCGUAAGAAUAAGCACUGGCUAACUACGUGCCAGCAGCCGCGGUAAUAC
rnacentral:rRNA from 1 species